UCGGUGUGGACUUAUUGGGUCGAAGGGCCUGUUUCCACACUGUAAGUAAUCUGAAUGGGACUAAGCAGAAGAGAAGGAAACUACAAAUCCCAGAACGCAUUGCGUCAAGGCGCUGAGUGUCACGUUUAGUAGCCAAUGAGCGACCUGGGUGCCUUUGACGUGGACCAAUAGUAACGAUAAGGGGCGGUCCAGAGGCCAGUAAGGGAAAAUGGCGGCGGCAGGGAGGAUCAUAUGGUGAAGUGGAGACUCUGUCACUAUCAGGUCGUAUUGUUAACUCUUCUGACUGAAUCAAACAGGAGGUGACAGCUUGCAUUUGUAUAGCGCCUUUGAAGGUUGCUUCGUCGUGUGAAAUGAGGCAUGAAUGCAGUUGGGAAGCGGUUUGGAGUCUCAAAGUGGGUGCUGUGGGAUGACUUCCUGCUAGUGGAAACUGCAAAGCAGAAUGAAGGCUGCGAUUCCUUAGAUCGCAGAGAUGUUAAGACACUGUGGUAAAGCCAAUGGUGCCCGAUGAGGUCUGCCAGUGCACGCACACUCAUGUUCUGAUGCCUGUUGGGGUCCCUUAGCCUCCUGACAGUUGCCUGAAGAGCCAACAGAGCACGGUCCACCGAUUCUUCAACAACAAACCCACGCGUCCAGAAACUCUAGCCAUCCUACCAUAUAUCAAAUGACUACCAGACUACUCUGACCCCCUUGGCAUCGUGGUAGCCCACAAACCUAACAAAUGCUACUGAUGAACUAAAGGACACUAUACCCACGACCAGCAAAAUGAGUGUCAUUUAUAAAAUACCGUGCAAGGACUGUAACAGACACUACAUUGGACAGACAGGCAGGAAACUAGCCACCAGGAUACACAAACACCAAUCAGCCAUCAGAAGAUAUGACCCACUAUCACUAGUAUCCUUACGUACAGACGAAGAUGGAACCACUUCGACUGGGUCAACACACCCAUCCUGGGACAGGCUAAACAGAGACGUGCACGAGAAUUCCUCGAAACCUGGCAUUCCAACGGGAACUCGAUCAACAAACACAUCGAUUUGGACUGCAUUUACCAACCUCUGAGAAGCAGAACCGGAAAUGAUGUCCCCCACUACAACAGCCCAAGACGGAUAAGCGAGACAGAACACCAGCGCUUCACCCGAGGCUCACUGUCGAUGUUACUGAGCACGGUGAUGUAACAUCUGCGAACAGACCGUCAGCUUAGCCAGCAAACUUCCGACUGGGACCUCAACCUGAGCUACCAGUCUUCUCCAAAAUCGCAGAAGGGCGACCAGAACUGCACACACAACUCCAGAAAAGGCCUCACCACAUGGACCAGGCCCUGAACAGCCUCAACCUGACGUCCGACUCCUGGACUUAAAGACAGAGUUUCGGAAGAGGAAGUUGCCAUUGACAGCUCUCCCAGAGUUUCCUUUCUGGACAGAACCAUCCCAGGUUGCAGUUUGGAGCUGAGCAAAGGGAGCUGGAGGCAAGGUGGAAUCCAGCUCUGGCUCCUGCUGCACAAUAAAAGCUAGAAAUACA